rnacentral:rRNA from 1 species
GACGAAGGGGGCUAGCGUUGUUCGGAAUUACUGGGCGUAAAGCGCGUGUAGGCGGCCCUGCAAGUCGGAUGUGAAAUCCCACGGCUCAACCGUGGAAGUGCAUUCGAAACUGCAGGGCUAGAGUCCUGGAGAGGAAGGUGGAAUGCUUGGUGUAGAGGUGAAAUUCGUAGAUAUCAAGCGGAACACCGGAGGCGAAGGCGGCCUUCUGGACAGUGACUGACGCUGAGACGCGAAAGCGUGGGGAGCAAACAGG